UGCUGGUGAGAAACCACGUCCUCCACCAGGCUCACGUGAGGCUCGGCCUUUCCUCUGGACGCUCCUGCCACGCGCCUGUUUCGACCGCUCGAACUCAGUGCAGUGCCUGGCAUACAGCUCUUGAAGAACAGACUUCAUGGUGCUACAUUAUGAGUAUAAAAAAAUCACAGGUUUGAUGAUACUCCUGCAAGUCAAAGGGGUGCUAUGACAACAGAGUGGACCUCGGUGCUUCCGGGCCCAGCCGACACGAGGAGGAGAGGAGGACGCUAAGGGCAGCAGCUACUCACCGCCAGGUCUUCGUUCAUCCUCCCGGUCCCGUCCUC